rnacentral:rRNA from 1 species
AUACGGAGGGGGCUAGCGUUAAUCGGAAUUACUGGGCGUAAAGCGCGCGUAGGCGGCUGUUAAAGUUGGAUGUGAAAGACCUGGGCUCAACCUGGGGAUUGCACCCAAAACUAAAUAGCUAGAAUACAGUAGAGGUGAGUGGAAUUCCGGGUGUAGCGGUGAAAUGCGUAGAGAUCCGGAGGAACACCAGUGGCGAAGGCGGCUCACUGGCUCGAUACUGACGCUGAGGCGCGAAAGCGUGGGGAGCAAACAGGAUUAGAAACCCCGGUAGUCC